rnacentral:rRNA from 1 species
CCUACGGGUGGCAGCAGUAGGGAAUAUUGCAAAAUGGGCGGAAGCCUGAUGCAGCAACGCCGCGUGUGCGAUGAAGGCCUUCGGGUCGUAAAGCACUUUUCGAUGGGAAGAGGAAGGACGGUACCAUCGGAAUAAGCCUCGGCUAACUACGUGCCAGCAGCCGCGGUAAAACGUAGGAGGCGAGCGUUAUCCGGAGUUACUGGGUGUAAAGCGCGUGCAGGCGGAACGGAAAGUUGGAUGUAAAAGCUCCCGGCUUAACUGGGAGAGGUCGUUCAAAACUACCGAUCUAGAGUACAGUAGAGGGAAGUGGAAUUCCGGGUGUAGUGGUGAAAUGCGUAGAUAUCCGGAGGAACACCAGUGGCGAAAGCGGCUUUCUGGACUGUAACUGACGCUCAGACGCGAAAGCUAGGGUAGCAAACGGGAUUAGAUACCCCAGUAGUC